rnacentral:lncRNA from 1 species
CUGGCUCCUCCAUCUGUGACGUGAUGAUUCAGGGCAAAAGUGGACCUGUCAGAAACAGGAAGGGAAGAUAAGAUAAAAAUAAAACAAAAUAAAGUAAAAAGUUAGCCAGACAUAACUUUCUCCGCGCAGCAACAUUCACAUCCUUAAAACAAAAAUCCCACAGCAGAGCCCAGAAUGGGGGCCAGACUUUGGGCUCCAGGUCAAGACUGGAGAGCAGCGGGGGAAGGGAUUCAGCGCCCUGCACCCGCCCAGAUGCGGGAACAGAGAGCCAGGCGGCCCGGCCAGGACCCAGGGCUGUGGGCAGUGGGGCUGCCUCAGCUCUGCACGCUGUGCUCAGCCCCCCUUCACCCCAAGAGCCAGCGAGCUGGGGAGCUGCAGCGUGAUUGAUGGGCCCCAGCUUGAAUGGAAAGUCCAGAUUCCAGGGAGACCGCUUCAGAGGGCUGCUGCGGGAGGCAGCGGGUGCCACACCAGUCCCAGGAGCCUGGCCCUCGCUUUCCCAGUUUGUGGGGUUCCUGAACUUCCCAGACUUCCCUGUCCCGGGUCAGUUAAUCAGGGAUCCUGCGAUUUGCACACGUGCUGACGUUUGUCGGUGGCUGAGUCCUUUUCCACCAGCAGCAUGGAGUCUGAGGCGUCAGGUGGGACCACUUCCUUUCUCUGGGCCCAGGAAGGUGUUCUGUGGGCAUUCUUCCUUAGAAAGAAAAGAACCAAGCUCGCCAUUUAUCCUUGCGUUUGGAGCCUGGCAUCGUCAGGAACUGCACUGACCUUGCAAAACACUCCACCUGCCGUUUCCAAGAAAUAUUCUGUUCUCUGAGAUUGCUGGAGCCCAGACCAUCAUCAAUGAUGCAAACCUGAAGUCAGAGCUGAGAAAGGCCCCUGAUACACACACCAGUAGUGGUCUGUAAGACUCUCACCGGCUUGUUCUCACCGGCUUGAUCAAAACCCACUGCUUAUUACUGGCUCUUUUAUUUGUCUAUGUUUGUAUGAAUACAGUUUGUUAAACUGUACUAGGAUUGUUCUUAUGCCCAAACUUUGUAUUUUUGAAAAGAUACAAGGCUACAGACCAUUAUUGUUCCUAAAAACAAAAACAGCAAUGUGAUUCUUACAUAUGUGGAAUAUACAUAACUCAGAUCCCCUACAUUUGAGACUUACAGAAAGGAAGUAUAGGGAUUGGGGCCUCACUUGUUGAGGGGGGUGGGCUAGGAUAGGGCCACCCCCAAUGUCUCCAUCCAGGUGAGAGCACAAGAAACCGGGGAGGGGGGCGGCAAGUUCUUUAGGGCCCCCCAGGGAAGCCAGCCUCUGAGCCUAGAACUCAAAUCCCCUAUGUUUCAUGGCACAACCUGGAUGUUCCUCCCAUAAGUGCAUGUGGAGAGGACUGGCCCAGCACCCACUGCACUGACUGACCACCCAGCAUGAAACAGUGGUCACAAGGCUUGGUUUCCAGGUAGCUCUUUUAUCUUGGGCAAGUCAUUUUACUCCUCUGGUCCUCAGUUUCCAUGCAAAUCUGUGCAUAAAGGUCUCUCCUGGCUCUAAAAGGUCAGGAGUCUGUAAAAAACAUCAGCCACGGAGCUGGCAAAGAGAUUGAUGGGGACUUGUCAGGGGCAUCAUUGUCGCUGUCCUCACUAGUUGAGGGUGGGCAGAGGCUGGACGACCCUGCAGACCAGUGACCUGAGGUUUCUCCCGUCCCCCUGACCUCAUUGGUCUGCCUCCUUCUUGGGCCCAAGGUUGUCAGACUCUCCUCUCCUUGGGAGACAGUCACAGUGGGUUCUAGCUCUAUGUUCUUUGAUGUUUCCUGUCAGAGUGACUUGAAAUCCCAGAUCUUCAAGUAGCCCCUUCACGCAUAGCUUUUCUUUUCUUGGAAAUGCUGAUCCUCCAUUGACACCCCACCCCUGCAGUGGAGUAGAGCUGCCUGGGCCACUUCCGUGACGGCAGGUCUACGCGAGUCACAGGGAUUUGAAGCUGAAGGGACCUUCUCGAGCGUUGACUCCAACUCUUUUAUUUCCUAGAUGAGAAUAAAAGGCCCCAAGAGGGGAAGUGACUCCA